rnacentral:rRNA from 1 species
UACGAAGGGGGCUAGCGUUGCUCGGAAUCACUGGGCGUAAAGGGUGCGUAGGCGGGUUUUUAAGUCAGGGGCGAAAUCCUGGAGCUCAACUCCAGAACUGCCUUUGAUACUGAGAAGCUUGAGUCCGGGAGAGGUGAGUGGAACUGCGAGUGUAGAGGUGAAAUUCGUAGAUAUUCGCAAGAACACCAGUGGCGAAGGCGGCUCACUGGCCCGGUACUGACGCUGAGGUGCGAAAGCGUGGGGAGCAAACAGG